rnacentral:rRNA from 1 species
CGGGACACGUGGUAUCCUGUCUGAAUAUGGGGGGACCAUCCUCCAAGGCUAAAUACUCCUGACUGACCGAUAGUGAACCAGUACCGUGAGGGAAAGGCGAAAAGAACCCCGGCGAGGGGAGUGAAAAAGAACCUGAAACCGUGUACGUACAAGCAGUGGGAGCACGCUUAGGCGUGUGACUGCGUACCUUUUGUAUAAUGGGUCAGCGACUUAUAUUCUGUAGCAAGGUUAACCGAAUAGGGGAGCCGAAGGGAAACCGAGUCUUAACUGGGCGUUAAGUUGCAGGGUAUAGACCCGAAACCCGGUGAUCUAGCCAUGGGCAGGUUGAAGGUUGGGUAACACUAACUGGAGGACCGAACCGACUAAUGUUGAAAAAUUAGCGGAUGACUUGUGGCUGGGGGUGAAAGGCCAAUCAAACCGGGAGAUAGCUGGUUCUCCCCGAAAGCUAUUUAGGUAGCGCCUCGUGAAUUCAUCUCCGGGGGUAGAGCACUGUUUCGGCAAGGGGGUCAUCCCGACUUACCAACCCGAUGCAAACUGCGAAUACCGGAGAAUGUUAUCACGGGAGACACACGGCGGGUGCUAACGUCCGUCGUGAAGAGGGAAACAACCCAGACCGCCAGCUAAGGUCCCAAAGUCAUGGUUAAGUGGGAAACGAUGUGGGAAGGCCCAGACAGCCAGGAUGUUGGCUUAGAAGCAGCCAUCAUUUAAAGAAAGCGUAAUAGCUCACUGGUCGAGUCGGCCUGCGCGGAAGAUGUAACGGGGCUAAACCAUGCACCGAAGCUGCGGCAGCGACGCUGAUGCGUUGUUGGGUAGGGGAGCGUUCUGUAAGCCUGUGAAGGUGUGCUGUGAGGCAUGCUGGAGGUAUCAGAAGUGCGAAUGCUGACAUAAGUAACGAUAAAGCGGGUGAAAAGCCCGCUCGCCGGAAGACCAAGGGUUCCUGUCCAACGUUAAUCGGGGCAGGGUGAGUCGACCCCUAAGGCGAGGCCGAAAGGCGUAGUCGAUGGGAAACAGGUUAAUAUUCCUGUACUUGGUGUUACUGCGAAGGGGGGACGGAGAAGGCUAUGUUGGCCGGGCGACGGUUGUCCCGGUUUAAGCGUGUAGGCUGGUUUUCCAGGCAAAUCCGGAAAAUCAAGGCUGAGGCGUGAUGACGAGGCACUACGGUGCUGAAGCAACAAAUGCCCUGCUUCCAGGAAAAGCCUCUAAGCAUCAGGUAACAUCAAAUCGUACCCCAAACCGACACAGGUGGUCAGGUAGAGAAUACCAAGGCGCUUGAGAGAACUCGGGUGAAGGAACUAGGCAAAAUGGUGCCGUAACUUCGGGAGAAGGCACGCUGAUAUGUAGGUGAAGCGACUUGCUCGUGGAGCUGAAAUCAGUCGAAGAUACCAGCUGGCUGCAACUGUUUAUUAAAAACACAGCACUGUGCAAACACGAAAGUGGACGUAUACGGUGUGACGCCUGCCCGGUGCCGGAAGGUUAAUUGAUGGGGUCAGCGCAAGCGAAGCUCUUGAUCGAAGCCCCGGUAAACGGCGGCCGUAACUAUAACGGUCCUAAGGUAGCGAAAUUCCUUGUCGGGUAAGUUCCGACCUGCACGAAUGGCGUAAUGAUGGCCAGGCUGUCUCCACCCGAGACUCAGUGAAAUUGAACUCGCUGUGAAGAUGCAGUGUACCCGCGGCAAGACGGAAAGACCCCGUGAACCUUUACUAUAGCUUGACACUGAACAUUGAGCCUUGAUGUGUAGGAUAGGUGGGAGGCUUUGAAGUGUGGACGCCAGUCUGCAUGGAGCCGGCCUUGAAAUACCACCCUUUAAUGUUUGAUGUUCUAACGUUGACCCGUGAUCCGGGUUGCGGACAGUGUCUGGUGGGUAGUUUGACUGGGGCGGUCUCCUCCUAAAGAGUAACGGAGGAGCACGAAGGUUGGCUAAUCCUGGUCGGACAUCAGGAGGUUAGUGCAAUGGCAUAAGCCAGCUUGACUGCGAGCGUGACGGCGCGAGCAGGUGCGAAAGCAGGUCAUAGUGAUCCGGUGGUUCUGAAUGGAAGGGCCAUCGCUCAACGGAUAAAAGGUACUCCGGGGAUAACAGGCUGAUACCGCCCAAGAGUUCAUAUCGACGGCGGUGUUUGGCACCUCGAUGUCGGCUCAUCACAUCCUGGGGCUGAAGUAGGUCCCAAGGGUAUGGCUGUUCGCCAUUUAAAGUGGUACGCGAGCUGGGUUUAGAACGUCGUGAGACAGUUCGGUCCCUAUCUGCCGUGGGCGCUGGAGAACUGAG